rnacentral:lncRNA from 1 species
CAACUUGGUCUUUGGACCUCACGUUCUCUACUUGUACAUCCUUUCUUGUGAUGCACUCUCUUAUGUAGUGAUAGCGUGUGUCAAUAUGCUUGCUUCGAUCAUGGAACACCGGAUUUUUCGCCAACGUAGUGAUAGCGUAUGUCAAUAUGCUUGCUUUGAUCAUGGAACACCGAAUUUUUCGCCAACGCCAACGUCGACUUAUUAUCCACGCAAAUUGUAGUUGGAUCUUCUUGUGGCCAUCCGAGUUCCUUUAGCAAACUUUGCAUCCAAAUAGCAUGACAUACACAAAAGGUAGUGGCAACGUACUCAGCUUCACAUGUGGAUAGAGUGACAAUUGGUUAUUUCUUGGACAUCCAACUGAAGGCGGUGUCUCCCAUGAAGAACACGAAGCCCGUGGUACUUUUUCUAUAAUCAAUGUCUCCGGCCCAAUUGCUAUCGCUAUAACCAGCAAGCUUAUAAUCAUUAGAAGUUGAAUAGAACAAGCCAAAGUUGAUUGUACCUUUGAGGUAGCGGAGAAUUCUUCUUGCAGCCUUCAAGUGUGUAGUAGUUGGAUUCUCUAUGUAGAGACUUAUGAGGCCAGUGGCGUA